AGACGUAGGGGGCAAGCGUUGCUCGGAAUCACUGGGCUUAAAGGGCGCGUAGGCGGUCAUGUAAGUCCAGGGUUGAAGGCCCCGGCGCAACCGGGGAAAGGCCCUGGAGACUGCAUGACUUGAGUGAGCGAGGGGAGGGCGGAAUUCCUGGUGUAGCGGUGAAAAGCGUAGAUAUCAGGAGGAGGGCCUGUGGCGAAGGCGGCCCUCUGGCGCUCAACUGACGCUGAGGCGCGAAAGCGUGGGGAGCAAACAGGAUUAGAAACCCUAGAGUCC
rnacentral:rRNA from 1 species